UACGUAGGGUGCAAGCGUUAAUCGGAAUUACUGGGCGUAAAGCGUGCGCAGGCGGUUUUGCAAGACAGAUGUGAAAUCCCCGGGCUCAACCUGGGAACUGCAUUUGUGACUGCAUCGCUGGAGUGCGGCAGAGGGGGAUGGAAUUCCGCGUGUAGCAGUGAAAUGCGUAGAUAUGCGGAGGAACACCGAUGGCGAAGGCAAUCCCCUGGGCCUGCACUGACGCUCAUGCACGAAAGCGUGGGGAGCAAACAGG
rnacentral:rRNA from 1 species